CUCCCAGAUCAAAACCAAGAUAAUAAAGGUUUGCAUCACUAGCUGUUACCCAAUUUGUUCGUUGUUAUUUAUUUUGUCUUCGAAUGAUUGCUAUCUAGUGGUUUUGUUAUUGGAUAGUUAACUUUAAUUUUAUAAAUACUAAAAGCCUAUGGUAUAUAGAUAUACUACUCUGCAGAUUAAUAGAUGGACUGACUGUAACCUCACUAGAGCUCUUGGUCUGCUCAGAGUUCUAAUUUUACAAGGGUAUUCCUCCUUAACCAAACAACAAGGAGUGUGGCUACUUUAUCAUGCGAUACAUGAGAGACAUCAUUGAGGAUAAAGACUUUUCAUUUGUUAACAAGUGGGAGAGAAGAAGCAGCCUUGUUUAUACCCAAGUGGAUAUUGAUGAGAUAAGGAAUGAGUGGGCUAGGUUUGUGGUUAAUGGAUACGUGUAGGAGCCAUCACUAGCUGAUGUUUU